rnacentral:rRNA from 1 species
GACGAACGCUGGCGGCGUGCCUAACACAUGCAAGUCGAGCGGGGACAAUUGCUUCGGUGAUUGUUCUAGCGGCGGACGGGUGAGUAACGCGUGAGCAACCUUUCUCUCAGUGGGGAAUAACACAGGGAAACUCGUACUAAUACCGCAUGAGACCACAGCAUCGCAUGGCGCAGGGGUCAAAGAUUUAUCGCUGAGAGGUGGGCUCGCGUCUGAUUAGAUAGUUGGUGGGGUAACGGCCUACCAAGUCGACGAUCAGUAGCCGACCUGAGAGGGUGAUCGGCCACAUUGGGACUGAGACACGGCCCAAAACUCCUACGGGAGGCAGCAGUGGGGAAUAUUGGGCAAUGGGGGAAACCCUGACCCAGCAACGCCGCGUGGAGGAAGAAGGUUUUCGGAUCGUAAACUCCUGUCCUCAGGGAAGAGCAGAAGACGGUACCUGAGGAGGAAGCCCCGGCUAACGUACGUG